UCUAUACAUAUAUUGAUUAACAUAAUGGAUCAAAUGCGUGUGUAUUUUUGUUGAAAUCUUAUUGAGAUGAAUACAGAACAACAUUUUUAGAAAGGUUCGUUUGAAAGUCAGAGUUUCAAAGACAGAAGGAGUGAGAGAGAGAGAGAGAGAGAGAUCUUCCAUUCACUGGUUCACUCUCCAGAUAGCCACAAUGGCCAGGGCUGGGCCAGGCCAAAGUCAGGAGGCAUGAGCUGCAUUCAGGUUUCCCAUGUAGGUGGCAGGAGCCCAAAGACUUGGAUCUUAUUCGGCUGCUUUUCCCAGGCCAUUAGCAAGGAGCUGCACUGGAAGAGGAGCAGUCAGGAAAUGAACUGAAAUCAUUAUGGCAUGCUGGCAUCACAGACAACAGCUCUACCCACUACACAACAACACUAGCCAUAAGAACAACAUUUUAAUAAUGUAUUUUCCAAUAAUCACAAUACUUUGUUUUUCUCAGAGUCAUUUCUAGAUACUUCUACUUAUUACUUUUAGCAAGCACAUUUCUCCAGCAAACAGAAAUACUGAAGUUAUUCAUUUUGCUAUUAGUAUUACGAUCAGUGUUAUUGCUGAUUAUAAUCAUUUCAAUAUCAUUAUUUCUAGGAAAUCUUUGAAUACUAAACUGAUACUAACCACAUUAUGAAAUGGUAUUUCCUAUAAAGUGUUCUGUUCUCAUUUUUGUGAGUUACCACCUACUGCUCUCUAUUUGGUAUUUAAGGAAACUUGUGCUUCUGAUUUAUUUACAUACUUCUAUCACACCUGUUUUAAAAUUUAAGUUUCCCUUUGUUCUACAGGACUGCUUUUUGAUAUGGCUACCACACAGAUAGUGAUAAAUGUAUGCUUUCCAAAGGGUCAGACCCUGUUUUAGGAGCGAUUAAAUACCAUAUUUAUAGGAACAACAGAACAAGUUGAAAAGAGCUUGAGUCUUUCAUAAAGUUUUGGAAAUAAUUCUUCUAUCAACUCUAGUCUUUACUUUUUAAAGUAAAUCAUGGCUAAUUUCCUCUUAUGUGACGAUUUUUGUUGGAAAACAUGAGUGGGAGUUGGAAACUCAGGUCUAACCUACUUAAAUCAGAGGGAGCAUUAGUGCAAAUAUUCUUAAGCAAGCAUUCAUUGUCUAAUCAAACGAAACUGGCUUACUCAAUGUUCAGUAGCAUGUCUUUCCAAAUCCUGGCUCAGGCUCCUGACUAAUGUGGGCUGCUCACUCUGAUCCCAGUGGGGCUACAGAAAUCUCCUAUUUCCUUUCAUUUUCAGGUAUGCAGCUGCAUCUCUAAGCCAUGACUACAUUGCUAAAUGAAUCACUGAUUUGGAAAAUCUGAAGUGACCUUCAACUUGUUCACAAGCUCUUUCUCAACAGAAUCAGCAAAAUAUUAGAAAGAGGUGCUUUACCUAGAGGUAUUUGCAGCAGGUAGAAGGUUGGAGGCCACUCCGGGAUGUGUGAGGUGGGGGCCAUUAUGUUCUAUAUUUAGAAGUGACCAUUUUGAAUAUGAUUCCAAAGACAAAAUCUGCUUCUUAUAAUACAGAAGAAAACACUGCCCCUGGCAUCUCACCUGCUAACAGAUAUGCUACUCAGAAAGCAUGAAAUUCUUCAUGGCAGUGACUUGGACUAGUUCUGAGUACUUAUUUAGUGAGCACUGUGCUAGUCUUUCUUAAUAGCUGUUACUGUGAAAGGUUAUAUGUUUAAACAUUUUAUUUUCAUUAUUCUUCUUAACUUCACCAACCUUAUUCGUUAUUGUCAUGGGGAAUGUUUUAUCAAUUUUUGCAGAAAGAGUCCCAGUCCUGAGGAGGAACACAGCAUCUCUUCAACACUGACUGCUCCUCUUAAUAUGUGGUCUACCUAAAAAUAUAAAUACUCAAUAAAAUGUAUAGUUUGCCCCAAUGCUCAAUAAAAUUGAUGUAAUGGAAUAUCUACAUAUCAUAUUCACUGAGCUGCUAAUUGGCUUUACUGGAAAAGUCUUUUACCAAUAUAAUCCAGUUAAACUCAUUCUCCUGUCUGCAGAAUCCUCUUCCCCUUAGGUACUGAGUGUUUCCAAAGGUGUUUCUAUUUGAAGCAGGUAUGGGAAGAGCAAUUCACAAAAAACAUCAUUCCUUAAGUGUAGAUGAUUAAUAAGUCUCAACACUUCUGAAACUGAAAGAAUUUGCAAUUCACUAUGCCAAAGGUUUUCCAUUAUACUCCUAAAGCCAUAAUGCUGUAAUCUGAGUUUCCCUUUAGUUAAUCUACAGCCAAAGAAGUUACCUUGAUUAUUGUGCCAUUUCCCAUUCUUGCAGGCAUGGAAUCUUUGCAACUUCCCUAACUAAUAUGGCUCAUGUAUUAUUAACUCUGGUUACAGUCAAGGAAUCAGAGGCUCAGGUAGGUCUUGAACUAGAGCGGAGAGCAGCCUUCUGACUCAUGUGUUCAGUCACAUUUCAAACCCAGAAGCUGCCCCGUCUUUGCUGCAGUGAGGUUUGCACCAGGUUCUUCAUAAACUUCUGAAACCAAACUACACCGCCAGACCGGUGCUGCUUUUGCUCUCUCCUAGCUAUUGCCUAGCCAUCUUAUGAUGAGCCAGUUUGGCCCUCCCUCAUCCCUUUUUGUUGCUCAGGUGGGUGAACGUGAUGACUGUAAAAGGCAAGCAAUCAAUAUCUGGGGUUAGACUGAGCCCUGUAAGCCAAUCUUCAAGCCCGAGCAGAGCUCCCUGUGUCCUUUAGUGUAACCUUGGCACAAGAAAAGCGACUUCCAUUCCAUUUCACCAACGUUUCGGUCAAAGAUCAAUUGCCAUUGUAAUUAUAUCAUAUAUCACAGGACGGGGAAUCAGUGAGAGGGCAGGCCCUCUAAACUAAUACAUAUCAUUAGCAUUUAAAGAACACGCAAAACAAAUUGGACAUUAGUCCUUGUGUAACUCUUUUUUCUAGAGCAAAUAAUUUUCCAAAUUAAAAUGAAUAAAUUAAUGAAAUUGCCACAUGACUGAGAAUAAACCACAUUGGUAAUGUCAUCAAGCCUUGAGCAAAGUUUAGCUCAUUGUACUUCUCUGUCUGAUCAUUAUAACAUCUAAUCAAGGGGAGCUUAAAUACUUCAGUGAGCUCUCAAAAUAAAUUUGAUCUGAGCAGCUCAGGUCUCAUGGAUUCCUAGGGUUACUGACUAGGUGAAACAUGUUUUUGUUUUAAUCCCUGUCUCAGCUCAAAGAGGAUUAAUGCCCAUAAUUCUCCUAUCCCCAUUUAAUUGAGAAAUGAAGUUUGAAGAGGCACCUCUUGGAACACUCCACUUUGAAGUAUGACCCAUCCACUGUCUAUAUACUAAAUCUUCCUCUGCUCACACACGUUUAUAUACAUCUUUCCUAACCUGAAGCAGGAGAGCAGAGAAUUAUUGUCUCUGUGUAUGUGUGUGUGUGUGUGUGUGUGUGUGAUUCUCUAUUCAAAACACACAGCGUUGUUGCUUCCUCAUUUCCACAUUAGAAUUAUACUAAAGAAGGCAUUCAGUGGAGAGCUCAAACUGCACCUCGAAUCCUUCUCUGACAUUCUAGCAUCCCUAAUGCAACAAUAGCCCUUCCAUUAAAAGCAAUUCAAUUCUGGUGUUAAUGUUAUGAUUGUGAUUUUUACUUUUACAUUUCACAUACCAGUAAAGGCAAAUGCCUGAAGCAAAGAAAAAACUAAGAUAACAUGCCAUAAUUCCUCAGCUGCUGGACAGGCAUUUGUGAAAAAGGGACAAAAAGAAGUACAGGGGAACUUAAUGACAGUUUCACUUGUUCUGUAGAAAUUUAUGUGAGUAUUUAAUGAGGCAAUGGCUGUAUAGUCUUAAAACAGGUCUGGCUACAAACUAAGGUUCAAGCAAGUUCUGACUUUUAUUUUAUCAUCAUUUUUAUGAAGAAUGUUCACAUCUAUCUCCCAAAUCCUGAGGCUUCAGGAGGAACAUAAAUGACAAUCAAAACCUCAAUGUCUUUACUAAUCUAAUCUUAUUAUUUAUUUCAAUCAUAACCUACUGAUUAUGGAAGCCAACUCUAGUCCAGUAUGGGAUAAUACUACUACACCAGAGAGUUGAGAUCCUUGGGGAAUAUUUUGGAGGCUGGAUACUGUAAGUACCUAGUGGGAUUUCAAUGAAUGAAAAUAAACUCAUAAAUAACAAUUGAUUUAAAAAGUUGAAUAUUUAUGAAUCAAACAGCUGAGUAGAAACCACCCUGGUUAUUGAAUAGAUAGGGAAACCAAAAAAAUCACAGAGAUUUAAUGAUUGACUCAAGAGCUUGACUACAUAUCCUGCUAGCGUUUCCAUGACAUUUUUUCUAUUAGGUUAGGCUUGCCUGUAUAAUUGUUAAAAACUCACCUGCAUAUGUGCUGGCCAGAAGGUUUGCAGUAAUCACAAGUGUGAUUUUUGUCUUGGAAGCAUUUUUGCUACUUUCUAAAAAUCACAGUACUAGCUUUAUGACAUGGAUGGUAAAGUCACUGCCUGCGACACUGUCAUCCUAUAUGGGUUCUGGUUCAAGUCCCAGCUGCUUCACAUUCUACCCAGCUCCAUGCAAGUGAUCUGGGAAAAGCAGCAAAAUAUGGCCUAAGUGUUUAGGCUCUUGCUACCCACAUGGGAAGCCCAAAUGAAACUCCUGGCUUUGACCUGGUCCAGCACCAGGAGUGAACCAGAUGAUGGAAGAUCUUUUUAUCUGUGUCUCUCCCUCUCUCUGUAACUUUGACUUUCAAGGAUUUUCAUAUUCUUGCCACCCACCCACACACACACCCACACAUAUUUUUACAUACACCUGCUUAAUCAGGCACUCAUGCACUCCGUUUUCUGCUCUCUUUUACCAAUAGCAAACUAAAUUUGUUUCAUGGUCAAUGGGCCACAGAAAAAUAUUUCUUCAUGCAAGUUAAUAUAUGUAUUUAUAGAAACUUUGAAGCUUUCCUUCUUUUAUUCUAAAAUAGAUUAUGGAGGGUUGAAUGUUCAGGCUUCAUGCAAGAAAUUUCCUGUUUGGGAGACUUUUUCCACUAUUUCUGUCUGAAUUGGUUGCCAUUUGUAUGAGAAGAAAAUGAAUACUAAUGGAAAAGUCCAGAGUGAAUUUGGAAAAUCAUUAUCACUAUUCCGCUACAGGUUUGGGCCUUUGACAAAACACCUAUUCAAAGAUGGAAAAUCCACUAUUUCCCCUCUGCAUUGCUUUCUCUGAAUAGAGCCAGAUUGAAUAACCAGGCUUGAUAAAGGAUUCAGAGCAGUUGCUUUACUAGGUAAUAGUGAGCCCGUGUUCUAACCAAAGGGAAAGAAGCUGGCCUUCUGAAUAUUUAACUAUUCUGUUUUCCAUUGACAUAUUUGUGUUGCAGGAUUUAGGAGAGAGCAUGGUUUAAAAAAUAAAGCAAGAUAACCCAUACAUUUCACCAUCCCCACAAGAGUCUCCUCCUCCACUCUCACAAGGAUAUUCCAUGACUAAAUUUGUACACAGAGACACACAUUGGCACCCUUAGAGUUUUCUCUUGUUCAGUUUCCCUCUUGUGCCUUCAAUAUAGACUUUCCUUCUUUAUGCAUGUUCAAACUCUGCUGACCCUCCUUGAAGCCCCACCACAACUAGUAAUGAUUAUGUAAAUUCUUGCAAGUGCUUUUGACUUUCAAAAUGCUUUCACGUAAGGAGACUCAAUGAUCCUCAUCCAACUUUAAACAUUUAGUCCAGCAAGUAUUAUCUCUUGCUUUCAUCGAUGAGGAAAAGGAGACUUGAAGUGGUUCGAUUAGUAAAUAAAGUUACAGAGCUAAAAAAGAAGUGACACUGGAGUUGAUCCCUUCUUCAGUGAAACCCACUGCCGCAUCUCCAGCUACAGCUUGAAUGAGAUUUUCCUUGUCAGAGUGCUUUUGGUACUUGGAUUUCUUGUAUGGAAUGUAACUUUUAGGUACUAAAUUCCUGGUUACUUCCUGCAUGCAUACAAUUUACAUGUGAUCUAGAAAUAUACAAUUGCUUCAAUUUUUAACAUGGAUUUAUUGCUGUUAUUAAGUAUUAUCUGUCCUUACCAAAUAGAAUGGGCACAGUGAGAAGAGGAUUGGAAUUAACAGCAAAGAAUGCAUUAAACAUUGUACUCUUUUUUUCUGUUCCCAUAAAUCCAUGAGGUAGGAAAAACAGUAGUUUGAGAACUAGAGUUAUAAACUAUCUAUUCAUUCAUUCAAUUAAGACAGUCCAUACAUACUGUUUGAUUUUCCCUGUUUUGGGACCUGAAUUGCAAGUUACAAUGGCAUAAUCUUGACCUCUUAAAACUGGUUAGAGAAACUUCCACUCUUUGAAAUGGAAACAAACAUGUGAACCAAUGUGCAUAAGGGAACUGAAUUGUUGAUUUCUUCACUUUCAUUACAUUAGAAGUAAGCACAAAUUCUCUUUGACUCAUCCAAAUAUAGUACAAUCCCUCCUAUAGGACACACUGAAAUUGAGUAUCCAAAUUUGCCAGCUAAAUUGUAUGUACCUUAAACUGAACAUUUUCUGUCAACAUUUACAUAUGCAGUUUGGGGAGUCUGAAUUUUAAACUCUCUUUUUUUUUUCCUUUAGGCUGUAUCCAGAAUGGAAAAGACAAUACAGGUAACUUUUUCAAGUACCUUGGUAAUAAAACACUUCGGAAAACUUAGUGGUGAGCCUCCAACAGGAGAAGUUACAUAAAACAACAGCAACCAAAUGGAGAUCAACAGAGAAAACCAUUAAAGGUAGAGAAACUGAGAGAUCUUUCAUAUACUACUUCACUCCAUAAAUGCCUGCAACAACUUGGACUAUGCCAUGCCAGCACCUGGUUCCUGGAAUUCAGUCCAGCUCUUCCUUAUACUAUAUACCAUAAACCAGGGAGGAGGUAAAAUGUGAAGAGCAAUAGAUAUUAAGGAAGCUUUCCAAAGAGGUGAUGCCUUAAUUAUGCAUUUGAUAGUAAAAUAUAGACACAAGAGAAAAAGAAGAAAACAGAUUGGGGUAAAAUUAGAAGGAAUGAAUAAAGUAAUGUCUCCAUAAAGUACAUCAUUGCUCCGGUGAUAAACCAAAUUCUAGUCGAGAACCCUGUUGUCUAAUUCAGUCAUUACUAUUUAAUCUAGAAAAGUAGGUGAUUUAUUUUUUUUCAACGACUACUCCAUUGACAUAUGAUUCUGCUGUACAUUAAUGAGUAUCACAUAAAUGUCCUUCCUAACCUGCCUUUGUUGAUAUGGAAGUCAACACACCUUAUCCCUUUGAAGUCCAGCAAGUUGAAGCUCAGGGUUGACCUUGAGCAAGCUAUUGUCUGGAAUGUAAACCCUGUACCCAUGAAAGGACAGGAUUAUAGUACUCUACAGCUUCUAAAUCAGAGGCAGAGCUAACCUCAUUUUAUUUAAAUGAUAUCAAUAAGAAGAUAUGUGCACAUUAUGAUCCAAAUGAAUAUAUUGAUUUUUGUACAAAUUGAGUGUUUCACUAAUUUGCAUAGAUACAAUUGAAACAAUAAACUCGAUGAUAACAACAAAGUAGCUAAUUAACUUGAUGAUCAUUUAAUUUUACUUUUGAUAAUGCAUAUGUUUUUAUUUAGUCUAAUAGGAUGUAAAUUAUAACCAACUGGCUUUAAAUACUCUCUCAUUUGAAAAGUCUGCUCAAUGAAGGAGAACCACCAAAAUGUGAACUCCUCAUGCUCCUGCUGAUUCUAAGAAAUGACAAACUUGCAGCUCUGUAUUUGUCUGUGGCCUGAUCUUUGCAGCAAUGGUCAACUUACAAGAUGGGAAAUGCAUUUCUGUUUGUAUUUGCCUACACAAGACUCACUAAUAUUGUAUUCUAUCAAUUAAAGUUUUAAAAAAUCUGCUGAUCACUACAUUCAUUCACUCCUAUGCUAGACCAUUGUAAUAUACUAUUGAACAUAACAAACUUUUCAUUGGUGGCAGGGCCUCACAUCCUAGAAACACAGAUACUUACCUUUAUGGGAAACCUAGGGACUAAAAUUUUAUGACAUAUUAAGGAGCACACCCUAUUCUGUUAUGCAUAUAGCAUUGCAUUUAAUCUUAUUAUAUGAGGGAAACACAUGCAAACUAGGAGCUGGAUGUGAUUUUGGAUAUACUGUAUGAAGAAUAGGGUAUAGGUCACUAGAGCAAGAGAACUCAUAGAAAUUAAUUUCUACUG